UACGUAGGGGGCGAGCGUUGUCCGGAUUUAUUGGGCGUAAAGAGCUCGUAGGCGGCUCGGUAAGUCAGGUGUGAAACCUCCAGGCUCAACCUGGAGACGCCACCUGAUACUGCCGUGGCUAGAGUCCGGUAGAGGAGCGUGGAAUUCCCAGUGUAGCGGUGAAAUGCGCAGAUAUCAGGAAGAACACCCGUGGCGAAGGCGGCUCUCUGGGACGGUACUGACGCUGAGACGCGAAAGCGUGGGGAGCAAACAGG
rnacentral:rRNA from 1 species